AAUAAAAAUAGAAUAAAUGAUGUGGGAGUAGGCUAGUUGGAAGCCGAUCGAGUGUAGUGCAGUGGAUAUAUUAAUCGCUCUUUAAUCUUCGUUAUUUCACCUCAAACGGAACUGUCAGCCUAACCACGGAGUACUGGAGAUUGUGUUCUGCAUUGCCAGCCGGCACAAGCGGUGACAGGCAAGGCAUGUGAGGUGUCUCACAGCUUUACUAACUUAUGCAGGAUGAGAGUACAGGCUGCAGGCACGGAGUGUUUGACGAGGCAGUUAUCGCCACAGCACUUAGGGAAGUACUGAAGGGCCUUGAGUAUUUCCACAACAACGGACAAAUCCACAGGUAUCACCCGGAGGCAGAGUCUGCGUGCCGAGGACGGCAUUGUUUACCCAUCAGUGAAUAGGUACUGGAUGUUAGCUGAAUAGUUGUCAUCUUGUCUCUUGGCUGGAGUGCAAGGCUAGCAGUCUUACCCUCCUGUGUGUGUGUGUGUGUGUGUGUGUGUGUGUGUGUGUGUGUGUGUGUGUAUUUACCUAGUUGUAUUGUACAGGGCAUGAGCCUAAGCUGUGUGCGUGUGUGCGUGCAUGCGCACUUAGUCUAAGAGAGCAGAUAUGGUCUCAUCACAUCCUAAGGGGCAAUCAAGAUACAUGUUGUAAGAAAUAACCAGAUGCUUGCAAAAAUAUUAGCAACGGAAAACAUUCAACAUCUCUUUCUUUGUGUUUGAUGUUGUCAGCAUUUAGGUGGAUGUUGAGGCAGCUCAAUGUGGUACAAAGUAAUGGAGAUUGUGUGUGUGUGAGUGGGUACAUCAAAUUCCCUUUGAAACACUAACAAAAACAUGGUGUAUCUCUCCUCACACACAGGGAGGGUUUGGAUAUUUUGUCAAAAACAGCUUGCUUUGAGUCCUCAGUAGUACAACUCUGUAUGCCUCUGUUACGCUAAACUAAAUGGCACUAAACUCACAUCCUUUGUAUUGAAAAUGCAAUAAGAUUAAAAUCUCUUGGUUGAGAGAUUUUGGUGUGGCAAGAUUAAGAAGAGGCAGGAGUGUGCUGUUUCCAGAUGACUGCAUCAGUGUAGGAGGCUGUUACCUUUUCACCUGUUCUCCAUCCUAAUCUAUUUACACUUGUUUCCUUAACUUGAGUUCCUUAUCUCUCAUGCAUUCUUUCCUGCCCCUCCUCCUCCUCCUCCUCCUCCUCCUCCUCCUCCUCCUCCUCCUCCUCCUUGUUCUUCUUGUUCUUGUUCUUUUUCCUCUUCCUCCUCCUCCUCCUACUUAUUCCUCCUCCUCCUCCUCCUCCUCCUGCUGGCUUAUUGGCUAAAUGACUUGUGGCAAUAUAUAAAUUCAUUGUCUCUCUUUCUCUCUCCUCCUCCUCCUCCUCCUCCUCCUCCUCCUCCU